rnacentral:lncRNA from 1 species
UCAAAUCAAAUUACAAUUUAAGAACCAAAAGAGAAAAAAAGUCAUGUCAGCUGCUACAUGCCUUGUUUGUUUUCCUUUUGCUGCAUUGCCUUGCUCCAGCUGCAUGCCUCAUUUGAUUUUUUCUAUUGUUGCACUACUUGAAGCACUAUCCUUGUGCCUUUUGUAGCUAAUUAAAAACAUAAUUUUUACAAGUCAGCUAUUGUACACAUGAUAAAAACUAA